AUUGAACGCUGGCGGCAUGCUUUACACAUGCAAGUCGAACGGCAGCGGGGAGGAGCUUGCUUCUCUGCCGGCGAGUGGCGAACGGGUGAGUAAUACAUCGGAACGUGUCGAGAAGAGGGGGAUAACCACCCGAAAGGGUGGCUAAUACCGCAUAAAUUCUGAGGAAGAAAGCUGGGGACCUAGGAAUAGGCCUAGCGCUUUUUGAGCGGCCGAUGUCGGAUUAGCUAGUUGGUGAGGUAAAGGCUCACCAAGACGAAGAUCUGUAGCGGGUCUGAGAGGAUGAUCCGCCACACUGGGACUGAGACACGGCCCAGACUCCUACGGGAGGCAGCAGUGGGGAAUUUUGGACAAUGGGGGCAACCCUGAUCCAGCCAUGCCGCGUGUAUGAAGAAGGCCUUAGGGUUGUAAAGUACUUUUGUUAGGGAAGAAAAGUCAGCUGUGAAUAAUGGCUGAUACUGACGGUACCUAAAGAAUAAGCACCGGCUAACUACGUG
rnacentral:rRNA from 1 species